rnacentral:rRNA from 1 species
GAUGUGAAAAUUGUCGUGAAGGACAUUUUAAAGUAUUCCUUUUGCCAGGCGCUUAACUGCGCGGCGAAAAACCUUACACACAGUGUUUUUUUGAUACAGAACUCUUGCUUUGGUUUGGCCUAGAGAUAGGUUGGGCCAGAGGUUUAACAAAACACAAUUUAAUUAUUUUUACAGUUAGUCAACUUUUGAAUUAAUCUUCAAAACUUUCAACAACGGAUCUCUUGGUUCUCGCAUCGAUGAAGAACGCAGCGAAAUGCGAUAAGUAAUAUGAAUUGCAGAUUUUCGUGAAUCAUCGAAUCUUUGAACGCACAUUGCGCCCUCUGGUAUUCCAGAGGGCAUGCCUGUUUGAGCGUCAUUUCUCUCUCAAACCCCCGGGUUUGGUAUUGAGUGAUACUCUUAGUCGGACUAGGCGUUUGCUUGAAAAGUAUUGGCAUGGGUAGUACUGGAUAGUGCUGUCGACCUCUCAAUGUAUUAGGUUUAUCCAACUCGUUGAAUGGUGUGGCGGGAUAUUUCUGGUAUUGUUGGCCCGGCCUUACAACAACCAAACAAGUUUGACCUCAAAUCAGGUAGGAAUACCCGCUGAACUUAAGCAUAUCAAUAAGCGGAGGAAU